GUGCUCGCUUUGGCAGCACACAUACUAAAAUUGGAACAAUACAGAUAAGAUUAGCAUGGCCCCUGUGCAAGGAUGACACGCAAAUUCGUGAAGCGUUUCAUAUAAAA
rnacentral:snRNA from 1 species